ensembl:lncRNA
UUCAUGUUUAGCCUCCCAGUGCAUAGGAAGGCUAAAUAGGAAAUAAACAUUAAAGAAGUGCUGGUUUCCUCUUUUUGCAGACAGACAGGUGCAACUGAGUGGCUCAGGGCUUGAGGUCCCAUCUGGCCACCAGUCCCUGCCCUGAGCACACGUGGUGGGGAGAUGCUGACUCCAGUUUCCAGCCAGCUUUUCUCCCAGGGAAGCUCAUCUACCAGUGCCGUGCCACGCUUCAGACUGUUCCUCUUCCAACCUCCUCUGAUGUUCAUUUCUUCAAUCCUGGGCUCCUUUCUCACCACCCAGCUCUGAAAAGUAAAUUCUCCACGAUGUCAGAUCACAUGAUGGCGGAGCAGGUUUGAAGCCCCAGCUCUCAAAGCG